CAUAUCACAUUGAAACAACGGUCCUCGUACGACCAUCGAAGUUAAGCAAUGUCGAACCUGGUCAGUACCUAGAUGGGUGACCGAUUGGAAAUAUCAGGUGCUGCAAG